ACCGAGGUUUACAAAAAAAUAUUUGGCUGUGUGUGGACUUUAGCUUAAUCAUGUGUCUUAUCCAAUAACAUCGAGUCUGCAACUAAACGCAGCGCUGUCAUCUAGGGUUAUUCCCAUCGCCUAUUCUUUGUCAAGCGAACUUCCAUCUUCUUCAUCACAAGCGAUCUUCCAUCUUCUUCAUCACAGAGAUAUCAGUUACGGAUUAAUACUCUUAAAACCCUCAAUUAAUCUUUCAUCUACGAUUUACAUUCAAUGAGAGUUUUGCUUCUCCAAGGCGGUGGAGGUUCUAUUAUAAAAAGGCUGGCCGCUCCUCCUCCACUGUUCAAGUCCGAUGACUUAAGUUCGUAUGAGGUUUGUUUGCAGUGUGACUUUCAGGUUCAACAACUUUGAUGAGGUUUUUUUUCCAGUGUGUCUGAGUGUAAACUGGUUUUAUAUAAAUGCGACAUAAAUUCAGACUCCUUAGGGUGUUAUGUGAUAUACUUCUCCGAUCGUUUCCAAUCUCUCUUCGUUUUACAAUAUUUUGUUCAUUGUUGUUUUGGUGGGUCUAAAGGUGAUGGUGAAGCUGAGAUCGUCACAACGAUUUUCGCAAUUGAUGCUGAUACUGUUUAUGCUUUUCAUGUUAACAAUUAUUCUCUUGAUGCUUUUGGCAGUUGUGUCUUUAGAUCUACUUUGAUGACGCAUGUUGUUGAGAACAUACUAGGAUGAGAGUUUCAGAAGAAGAGCAAUGUUGUUGCUAUUUACUUUGACCAAGAUGACUAGAUUGAGUGAUUGUUGAAGUUAUGUCUACGAAUGGACUCUUAUGAGUAUGAGUGCCCGGAGAACAAAUUUGGGGAUGGUUGGUGAUGAAAAAGCCAAAUCUGAAGUAAAAAGAUAGGACUAGAAGCGCAAUCAUAUGAGAGACGGAGACGAGGAUGGUCAAUGUUCUGAGCCGUCGAGGUUGCACCACCGCUCAUGAUCUAGAGACAGAGAGAGGGAUAUGCAUAGAGGUAUCCAGCAGGCAGCAACACAGAGAGAAGAGAGUUAAAGAGCUCGCAAAAAGGGUGAAGAUGAAAAGAUAUAAACGGAAAGAGAUAGGGCCUUUUAUUUUUCAUUCACCGGAGAAGCAUGCGAAUAACUCAGAAAUAUGCUAGUGAACAACUUAUCAUCUUCCUCCAUUUCUUUCCUGCUCCCUUCAUUUUAACAAAUCCACUUUAUUAGUUAUAAUUGUUAAGCUGCUACAUAAGCUUGAUUGGUACAUCAAGUGUUUGUUCCUAUUCUAAGAAUAAAAUGUUUAUCACCUCUUUGAUUAAUUGCUUAUGAAGGAAAUGAAUUGUCUUCUGAUU